AUACUCCUAUCAGAAUAAUAUGUGCAGAUCACCAUGUGUUUGUCCACAGUACUUAGUGUGUCAUUUCAUCAAUUUCUCUACUAUUAUUUUCACAUUUCAUUCAAAAGAUAUAUUCUAUCAAUUCAGAAGAUUAAACUUCUAAACGGAUUUUACAACUUUGUACUCAACAAUUUAGCUAAGGAAAAAGUACAUCAGAGGUCCCUCAACUUGUCAUCGAAUUACAAAAACGUCCCUCAACCACAAAACCAGAUAUAUCGCAUCCCUCAACUAUCAAAACCGGAUUAAUGUGGGUCCUAUGGCAGUAUUGAACCCUGGUUUUGCCGACGUGGCGAUUUGACACCACGGUCGUCGACGCUGACUCAGCACGGGCGGUAGUUAGGAUAUUAAAGUGAGGGUUGUUUGGCGCGGUUGUGCCGUUCCCCAUUUUCGCGAAACCCUAGCGAGUGCAGAGUGAGGGCGGCGGCCAGGAGUACUGGGCGGCGACAAGGUAAACAGCGACGCAGCGAUGUCGAGCUCAAGGAGCGAUGGCUCAUCGUCUUCUUCCCGCCGGUGCAGUGCUUCUCCCGUGUCGUAUCGGGUUGGUCCUCUCAAUUACCAACCCGCGGUGAUGUGCCGUUGUUGUUGCCCUGCAAAGGCAACGUGGUGGAUUUCGUGGAGCAUUGAUAACCCAGGGCGACGGUAUUAUAAGUGCCAAAAUGCUCGGGAGGGGGGUUGCGAUUUCUGGGUUUGGUGCGACGGUCCGACAACGAGCUUCAUCAAGGAGUUGUUGAAUGAUUUGCGAGAUGCUGUGACAGGGCUGAGGAGGGAGAACGAACAUCUGAGGAGGGAGAACAAAGAUCUACAGAGGGAUGCUGAAGAGAAUAGGGCGAAGAGGGUAGAACAGAGGAAAGUUAUAUAGGAUGCUAGUAGAGUGGAUGCUUUGAAGACUGAAGAGAUUAGAAUCUUGAAGACUAGAAACCAAAAGUUAGAGAAGGAGAGGAAUGUGGUUGUAGUAUUUAUGUUGUCAGGCAUGUUUGUGUUGUUUGUGUUGUUGUUUGGGAAGAAUUGAUGUGUGGCUAGUAUUAUGUAAAUGGAAGCACUAUGAAUGUGUUCCAGUACCCUUUAUAUAUGCUGAAGACAUUUGGAAUGAAUGAUCUUUGUCAGUUAAAAAUUUGUGGAUCUUUGUCAGUUAAAAA